rnacentral:rRNA from 1 species
AAUGAACGCUGGCGGCAGGCCUAACACAUGCAAGUCGAGCGGCAGCGGGACCUUCGGGUUGCCGGCGAGCGGCGGACGGGUGAGUAAUGCCUAGGAAUCUGCCUGUUAGUGGGGGAUAACGCGGGGAAACUCGCGCUAAUACCGCAUACGUCCUACGGGAGAAAGCGGGGGCUCUUCGGACCUCGCGCUAACAGAUGAGCCUAGGUCGGAUUAGCUAGUUGGUGGGGUAAUGGCCCACCAAGGCGACGAUCCGUAACUGGUCUGAGAGGAUGAUCAGUCACACUGGAACUGAGACACGGUCCAGACUCCUACGGGAGGCAGCAGUGGGGAAUAUUGGACAAUGGGCGAAAGCCUGAUCCAGCCAUGCCGCGUGUGUGAAGAAGGUCUUCGGAUUGUAAAGCACUUUAAGUCGGGAGGAAGGGCUGUAGGCUAAUACCUUGCAGUUUUGACGUUACCGACAGAAUAAGCACCGGCUAACUUCGUGCCAGCAGCCGCCGUAA